rnacentral:rRNA from 1 species
UACGUAGGUGGCAAGCGUUAUCCGGAAUUAUUGGGCGUAAAGCGCGCGUAGGCGGUUUUUUAAGUCUGAUGUGAAAGCCCACGGCUCAACCGUGGAGGGUCAUUGGAAACUGGGAGACUUGAGUGCAGAAGAGGAGAGUGGAAUUCCAUGUGUAGCGGUGAAAUGCGUAGAUAUAUGGAGGAACACCAGUGGCGAAGGCGGCUCUCUGGUCUGUAACUGACGCUGAGGCUCGAAAGCGUGGGGAGCAAACAGG